rnacentral:rRNA from 1 species
CGGAACGGGUGAGUAAUGCGUGACCAACCUGCCCCAUGCUCCAGAAUAGCUCUUGGAAACGGGUGGUAAUGCUGGAUGCCCCAACUUGACGCAUGUCUUGUUGGGAAAGUGUUUAGUGGCAUGGGAUGGGGUCGCGUCCUAUCAGCUUGUAGGCGGGGUAAUGGCCCACCUAGGCUUCGACGGGUAGCCGGCCUGAGAGGGCGGACGGCCACAUUGGGACUGAGAUACGGCCCAGACUCCUACGGGAGGCAGCAGCC